AACGAACGCUGGCGGCAUGCCUAACACAUGCAAGUCGAACGAGACCUUCGGGUCUAGUGGCGCCCGGGUGCGUAACGCGUGGGAACCUGCCCUUAGGUUCGGAAUAACUCCCCGAAAGGGGUGCUAAUACCGGACAAUGUCUUCGGACCAAAAAUUUAUUGCCUUUGGAUGGGCACUCGUUGGAUUCGCUUGUUGGUAGGGUAAUAGGCUAACAAGGCGCCGAUUCCUAGCUGGUCAGAGAGGAUGGUCAGCCACACCUGGACUGGGACGCGGCCCGGACUCCUACGGGAGGGAGGAAUGGGGGAUGGUGGACAGUCGGGUGAAUGCUGAAGCUGCUAGGCCGGGUAGGUGAUGAAAGCCUUAAGGUUGUAAAGCUCUUUUAACCGGGAUGAUAAUGACAGUACCGGGAGAAUAAGCUCCGGCUAACUCCGUG
rnacentral:rRNA from 1 species